rnacentral:lncRNA from 12 species
UGAGGGCGGGCACGGGACAGGAACCUGGUAUCACUCUGCAGAGACAGCCGAACCCGAGGGGACUUGGCCUGCCCGUGAUGUGACAGAGAUGGCUGGAGGCAGGCAGCGUGUGCAGGACGCGUGAGAGCCCUACUGGCAGGGCUGGAGAAGCGGGAUGGUGGCUCUUAGUCUGGGCUCCCCAAGCACCGACCCUGACACAGGCCAGGAAGCAGUUUCUCUGGGAGUACCUCCCAGGGAGCAUGGGGCGGGGGGAGUGGGGCUGAGCAGGGAAGGGAGGACAGUGAGUGGAGGCCACUACUGUGGGCACCAGGUUCCCCUGCCCUGGCGACCCCGAGGGACUGUGCAGCUCAGGGGCCCCUGGGAGGAGGAGCCUGGUCUAUGAGAGGUUAUCCUCCUCCCAAGGGGCGAGGAACAGCCGGAGGGCUGAUGAGAAAGGAGGAGGCUGGGGAAGGGGUGAGGCUCAGGAUUCUAGGAGAGGUGGCCUAAGGAGGAAGCUGCAGGCCCGAGGUCUGCCUCCUGAGCCUCCUGAGCCCAGCCUCAGGGUCCCCGUACACUGUGUGCAUUUCCCCCAGGGGACCCCACGCCAACGAGGCCCAGGGCAGUGUUUGUUUAAUAAAUAAUUAAAAGAAAUAGCAAAUCAAGAGAACCCAGGUCUAGGCUGCGUGCUCUUCAAACAAGACACACAGAGAGAGCCACCCUAUCCUCCAGACAAGUGGUUCUCAACCCCUUUCUGGAGUGGUUGUCUCCCCAGGGGUGGGGGUGGGGCUGCAGCCAAGGGCCUGAGGCCAGGGACGCCGCCAAACAUCCCACAACACACAGUGCGGCCCCCGCCAGAAAGAACAGCCAGCCCAAAUGUCAAUGGUGUGGUUGGGAAACGCCACUCUACUGGAAAGAUGAAUGUUCCAGAAUGUUCCAGAAACACAGACUGGCCUCCUAUCACCCGGAGACUGCUUGGCCUCGUGACCCCAGGGUGUGCAACCCUGAUCACAGGACAGCUGCUCUGAGGCUCCGUGUCCUCAUCUGUGAGACGGGGAUCAGCCCUUCGGCUCGGCGACCUCAUGCCUGCAAGAGUCCGCUCCACAAGCCUGUCCAAAUACGCGACUGUGGGGCCGAGGCCCUGGUCUGUAAGCAACGGGGAUGCGUUCGCAGGAUGGAGGCUGCUGAGAAAACACGUUGUACCUAGAAAAAGUUGGCCUCGAGGGCCUGGGAGAUGGAGUCCAGACCCACUUCCUGUCCUGAGUGGGUCCCUUGCAUCCUCUGCUCCUGAUGGUCACAGCUUUCAAAUAAAAAGACUGAAAAAAAAAUAGGAUCUACUUAG